CGAAAAUUUAUCAAAAUUUAUAGAUAAUUGACUGGAUAAAACUCCUUGAAAAUUAUGGGUAUACGACAUAUGGUUUUGAUACAUGGUUGGAUAACUUUUUCUGUUGCGAUUUUUAUUUAGACAGCCAAUGUUACAGAGAGAAGCUUAUUUGAAGACAACAUCAAUCACACAUUUUAUGAAUCAGGAGGAGACUUGCCUGUUCAUGACUCAUGGAGAAAACUAAAAAAAGGGUGAUGUUUUGUGGCAAGUAGUUAUUUGUACGGAGGGGGGAGGUGUGGAAAGUGCAUUUACUGUUAUUUUGAGUGUAAAUUAUUGACAGCUUGUUGAACUCAUGAUGAUGGAGGUAGGCAAGAAUCCAAAUAUAAGUUUAUUUCACAGAAUGGAUUUACAGAAGCUCCAUUUGCAUGCACAUGGUCAACGUAAUUAAUUAUUAACUUGAUACAUAAAUGAUACUACUACAACGGUCACAUGAAAAUGUCAUGUGACAAAAUUUACCAUUCAGUAUAAAUUAAUGUUUAUCUCAAUACAGCAAGUCAGUUGUACCAAGUUACUGUGAAAACUCAAAUAAACUAGAUGACUAAUAAAAUGACAAAAAAGAUUUUGCA